UACGGGGGGGGCAAGCGUUGUUCGGAAUUACUGGGCGUAAAGGGCUCGUAGGCGGCCAACUAAGUCAGACGUGAAAUCCCCAGGCUCAACUUGGGAACUGCGUCUGAUACUGGAUGGCUUGAAUUCGGGAGAGGGAUGCGGAAUUCCAGGUGUAGCGGUGAAAUGCGUAGAUAUCUGGAGGAACACCGGUGGCGAAGGCGGCAUCCUGGACCGACACUGACGCUGAGGAGCGAAAGCCAGGGGAGCAAACGGG
rnacentral:rRNA from 1 species